CGCGGCCUAUCAGCUUGUUGGUGAGGUAACGGCUCACCAAGGCAAUGACGGGUAGCUGGUCUGAGAGAACGAUCAGCCACACUGGAACUGAGAUACGGUCCAGACUCCUACGGGAGGCAGCAGGAGGGAAUCUUGCGCAAUGGGCGAAAGCCUGACGCAGCGACGCCGCGUGGGGGAUGAAUGCCUUAGGGUUGUAAACCCCUUUCACGAGGGAAGAAACUGACGGUACCUCGAGAAGAAGCCCCGGCCAACUACGUGCCAGCAGCCGCGGUAAUACGUAGGGGGCGAGCGUUGUCCGGAUUUAUUGGGCGUAAAGGGCUCGUAGGCGGCUUGGCAAGUCGGCCGUGAAAACCCAGGGCUCAACUCUGGGACGCCGGUCGAUACUGCCAUGGCUAGGGUCCGGUAGAGGGGAAUGGAAUUCCCGGUGUAGCGGUGAAAUGCGCAGAUAUCGGGAGGAACACCAGUAGCGAAGGCGGUUCCCUGGGCCGGCACCGACGCUGAGGAGCGAAAGCGUGGGGAGCAAACAGGAUUAGAUACCCUGGUAGUCCACGCCGUAAACGUUGGGUACUAGGCGUGGCGUCUUAUCAACGGAUGCCGUGCUCGAAGCUAACGCGUUAAGUACCCCGCCUGGGGAGUACGG
rnacentral:rRNA from 1 species